rnacentral:piRNA from 1 species
UAUCUGUGAUCUUUGGCUUUCUGA